rnacentral:rRNA from 1 species
GAUCCUGGCUCAGAUUGAACGCUGGUGGCAGGCCUAACACAUGCAAGUCGAGCGGAAUCGAGUGAGCACAGUUUACUGAGUUCAUGUCGGCGAGCGGCGGACGGGUGAGUAAAGUCUGGGAAUCUGGCCGACGGAGGGGGAUAACUGCUGGAAACGGCAGCUAAUACCGCAUGAAGUCGUGAGACCAAAGUGGGGGACCUUCGGGCCUCACGCCGUCGGAUGAGCCCAG